ACCCCCAUCUGCUGUCCGAUAAGCCUACUGUUUGCCGAAUUGAUCUAAAAGAUGUAGGCUUUAGCCCAAGAUACGUAAUCUCACUACUACACACACGUCCUGCUGCUGUAGGGCAGCGUUACACUGCCAGGGUUUAGUUUAGAUAAGGGAUUGGUGUGAACUUUAUCUUACAAUCAACUGUACACAAUAGUGGGCCAAACGUUAGACAAGCACACACGGUGCUUCUGCUUUUUGGAGCUACGUUAGCAGGCUAAGCUACAAAAGUAACCUGCUAACUCAUUUUGAUAAUUGUAAGUUCAGAGUUCAGAGUGACGUCCCACAGUUAGCUGGCGGGUCUCUCUUCCUCAGUGGCCACAGUCUGAGCCUCCGCCACCAUGACAGACAACAAGCGUCUCGCCUUCUCCAUCCUCCAGUUCCUCCAUGACCAGCUCCAGUCAGGGGAUCUGACCUCAGGCGCCCAGGAGAGUCUGGAAGUUGCCGUUCAGUGUUUGGAGACGGCGUUUGAAGUCUCGACCGACGACCAGACCCUCGCCGUCCCCAUGACGUUACCAGAGAUCUUCGCCUCAGCCACAGACAAAUUUCCAGUCGAGUCGCACGUCAACAACAACUCUGCUCCUCCACAGCCUCCGAACUCCCUCACCGAGGACCAGAGAGAAGAGGCAGAGAUGCUCAAAACUGAUGGUAACGACCAAAUGAAAGUGGAGAACUUUGCUGCUGCUGUUGAGUUUUACUCAAAGGCCAUCGCCAUUAACCCUCAGAACGCCGUCUAUUACUGCAACAGGGCUGCAGCGUACAGUAAACUAGGGAACUAUGCCGGAGCGGUGCAGGACUGUGAACAGGCCAUCAGCAUCGACCCAAACUACAGCAAAGCCUACGGGAGGAUGGGUUUGGCUCUGGCCAGCCUCAACAAACACACGGAAGCAGCGACUUACUAUAAGAAAGCUCUGGAGCUCGACCCUGACAAUGACACGUACAAAACCAACCUGAAGAUCGCAGAGGAGAAGAUGGAAACUUCCAGUCCAACAGCAGGAAUGGGUGGAGUAGAUCUGGCAGGUCUGCUCAGUAACCCCGGCUUCAUGAACAUGGCGUCCUCUCUGAUGACCAAUCCUCAGGUUCAGCAGCUGAUGUCAGGGAUGAUGUCAGGAGCAUACGGCGGGGGGCCAGGAGGAGCAGGUGUAGGAGGAGGUGGACUAGGAGGUGCAGGAGGAGGUGGACUAGGAGGUGGACUAGGAGGUGGACUAGGAGGUGCACUAGGAGGUGGACUAGGAGGUGGACUAGGAGCUGGAUUAGGAGGACUAGGAGCAGGGCUAGGAGCAGGAGUAGGCGGAGGACUUGGAGGAAGUGCGGCGCCCCCGCAGCCGCUGCACCUGCUGGAGCUGGGGACUUAUCGGGACUGAUCCAGGCAGGUCAGCAGUUCGCUCAGCAGAUGCAGCAGCAGAACCCCGAACUCAUCGAACAGCUGAGGAGUCAAAUCCGCAACCGAACGCCCAGCGCUGGAAACGAGGAGCAGCCAUGACACUCAGAUACAGUGGGACAGGUUUGCUAGUGGAUGAGAAGAGCUGAUUUGGAUCAUUUAUAACUCGAAGGACUAAAAGGAAGUUAUUUUUUUUGUUUAUUUCCCCCCCCCCAAUCACUGAAUAAUUCCUGCACGAGAGAACGAGGAGCUCAGAAUGCUUCAUUCAGGAGCCACAUCACCAAAAAAAACAACCACUUCCUGUGGCUCUGUGUGGUUUUUAUGAAGAACAUAUUGACAUUUAACACUGUGGUAUCAAACACAGAAUAAUUCUAAUACAUAAAUAAUGCUAUAAUAGGAACAUGGAUGUUAAAACAACAGAGUUAAAAGGUAGAAGCUUGACAUUUCUUAAAACUAUAAAUUGUGUGUGUGCGUGUGCGUGUGCGUGUGUGUGUGUGUGUGUGUGUGUGUGUCAGGUUUGAGUUGUGAGGAGGCAGAGAGCUGUUCAAAACAAAGUCUUGCCAAUUAAAAAGAGCAUCUCAACAUUUUACACCCUCCUGACGUCUGAUGAUUCACUUUGAACUCAUUUUGUUUUCCUGAUCAGCAGCUUCACAUAAACACUGUUUCACUGACUCAGAGGUGUAAAUCCACACUGAAGUGUUUGAGCUUGGCUAAAAGUAAAUGUGCUCAUUUAAAUGAAAUAGCCCAUCAGUGUCCCUAACUCCCAUGCAUGUGGUCCCCAACCUGUUUUUCUUGCAAUUCCUUAAACAUGAAGCAAUGUCUCCUUUAUGUUAAGUCUCGUUAUAGGUUAAAUGUCUUUAUGCUGUGAGAGGUUUUAUUGAAGACGAAACCAGAAAUUUAUUUUUCAAAUGAUUCUCCUGUCAGAUUUUUUGAUUUGAAUCAUUUAAAAAAAAAAAAUUCUGCAGUAUAAAUUUAUCUUUAAAUUUUCAGUCUUUGCUUCAGUCUUUUUCUUUUUGCGUGAAUUGUUGAAUACUUUUGCCUCUUUUUGCCCAAAAAAGGAUUACCAUAAAUCUGAAGGGGAAGUUUUACUCAGAGAAUGUAGACAUGUACAAAGUGAUGGGAAGCUCCAAAAUAGAUGAUUGGUUUUGUGGUGUCACAAGCUAAAAUUACGGCUGUCGAGAUCACCUUAAGUCCGCUAGAGGUCAAAGUAUGUGAUGUUUAUAUGAUGUUUAAAGUGAUAAAGAUCAGUUUAACCCCCAAA